UACGUAGGGUGCGAGCGUUGUCCGGAAUUAUUGGGCGUAAAGGGCUCGUAGGCGGUCUGUCACGUCGGGAGUGAAAACUCAGGGCUUAACCCUGAGCCUGCUUCCGAUACGGGCAGACUAGAGGUAUGCAGGGGAGAACGGAAUUCCUGGUGUAGCGGUGAAAUGCGCAGAUAUCAGGAGGAACACCGGUGGCGAAGGCGGUUCUCUGGGCAUUACCUGACGCUGAGGAGCGGAAGUGUGGGGAGCGAACAGG
rnacentral:rRNA from 1 species